CUCCCGGGAAGUGCGAUCAAACAUGUCAAGAUAAGUCGUUUAAGGACGUUUUACUGGCCAUGUUCGCCACGAAAAUAUACGGCACUUGCACAGACGAAUGUGGAUGCUUCAUUUGGAGCUGGAAAACAGUGGUGUGGAGCCUGAUCCGAGCCUGAUCCGCUUCCUGGAGGAGGCGAUUCAAAGUAAGGCUUUGAACAAAGAGCUUGAAACCCUUCUGUGUGCCAGAGAGUAGCGGGGCACUGUGCAUCAAAAUAUCAGCGCAGGUUGAAAGGCGCAAAAUAAGCUCCGCAAAAUUCUCGUCUGUGACCAACGCUGCAACCAGGAAUAGCUCUGAUCGUCGCCUUCAUCCACCUUGUGGGUAAGAUCAGUGAGUGUUUCCCAUGCUGGGGCUGAAAGAGGUGCCACUCACAUUCUUAGGUUCUCUUUCGUUGCCUUCUUUCUUCCUGCUGUUGUUUUUCAGGUAGAUUCCUCUGUAAAAACCUGGACGCCGCCCUGGAAUGUUGCGACAUUUGGGUGCGUUUCUAUCUCUAGCUGUGUGAGAUUGUUGACUCAUAAUUCAAUUCAAUACACAUCUCAGAUUUAAAAAAUGAUGCCAAAGGAAAGGAAUUGGAUAAAAGUUAAUAGAUGCUUGUCCUUCAUGGGAAAAAAAAACUACAGUGUUGGGAAGAUAUUUUUGGACACGUGCCUUCUACAGUGUGCUAAUGGCUGCACUAUUAAACAUUAAAUUCAGCUUAGUUAUUCAUUGACUUUUGAACAAUGUUGAGAACCGGCAUAUUGAAACUGUUAAUAAUAUAGUUGUGUGUAUACCUGACAACAAAAAAAAAAAAAAAAAAUGAGGUUUGGGUAAAAUCUAUAGGUUGUCCAAAAACUUUUUCCCACCAGUGUAUAUUGUUUAUUUUUUAAUUCAUAUUUUUUCAACAAUAAAGGUCAUGUCAUUUUUAUGCAACUGUUAGGGCGAUUAAAAAAAAAAAAGUGUUUUCUCAGCAAAACUUCCAGAAGACAAGCCUACGCUGGCGGAGUCCUCACCUGAAGACCACAAACACUCCUCCUUGACUCCGAGUUUGUAGGAGCAAACUUUCCCACAGAACUUUCCCUGGCUGUCAGUAUUCACUCUCCUGUCUACCUGCUGCCCCUUUGAUACUCCUGCCCCAAACUCCUCAAAUUCACCAGAGAGUUCUUCGGAAUUCAUAAGAACCCGUGUCUGGCAGUAGAUGUGUGACUGACCACACGUUCACCCGCUUGAUGAAGUGAGCAAGGCUGGAAGGUUGAAGAGGCUGGAUGUCCGAUCUCGGCAAACGCCAUUAAAGAUAAAGGAGUGUGCGGUCAGAGAUGUGGGGAAGCAGCCCGGGCAGGUGUGUGGGCAGUGGGAGAUGACACCCUCCUCUCACAGCAUCACAAAAUAGGCUGAAACUUCCCGCAGUAAUGAGAUGGGGCCCAGACUAUCGGGGUCAAUUAUUCAUUGCUAGUCAGCUGGGAGAGAUGGGGAGCUGGUGAAGCCUUAUCGAAUCAUACAACACUUCUCGUUGCCUCCAUCCACACAUCUAAAUCUAAGUCUUGUCUGGAAGGAGUGUAACUUUAAAAGGCAUACAUGAGUGGCCGCUCACUCCAGUGUCCAGAAAGCAGCAGCUCGGCUUCUUCUCUGGCCUCACAAUUACUCUGUUGAAUGGACAGCCAUUGAUCAUCCCCUCGCUGCGGCUCCAGCUCCAGCAUUAUGCAUACUGUCGACCAAGUCAGGACACGUAUCAAAGGGAAUCACUCAAAACUUGUUGUUCUGUGCCAAACAUGAAUUUCUCCCUGGGUUUUGAGUUAAGGGCGUGUGUGGGAAAACAAAGGCUCCUUCAACCCUGAAGAGUAAAGACACAAUCUUGAUGACUGCUUUUGCAUUCAAGGACAAAUGAAGCAUGUGUCUUUCAGCUUCAUUUUUCAGUUCUUUGACAAGAAGAUGAUCCAUUUAUGUCACAGAUUGCGGGGGGAAUUCACGUAUUUCAUGUCUUUUUUAAUCAACAAGAACAGACCAUAUUUCGUCCGCCUGCGUUGGCUGUGCUUCUUUCUCUCUCCUCUGGCUAAGGUUUCAUCAGCAUUUGUUGAAAACCCAACAGUUUGCAUGUACAAGGAUGAUUUAUCAAAUAUCUGUACGCAAAAACAUCUUCUCUUUCUCUCUCAGCAUGAUCUGACAAAGUCUCAGUGUAGGGUUCUUCGUGCCACAGUGACAAAUGCUGUCCAGAGGAUGGAUGACUGGUCUGUUCUUUAUUGUGAAGAAGGAGGUCAAGGGUCCAGAAGUCCAGAAACGUGAGUCCCAAGUUCUUCUCUGUCCAGUUAUCUGAGAAAAGAGUCUGUUUUUAGGGUUUAAUCUUUUCAGUUAAGCGUCGUGAACUUGCUGUUUCUGUUUUGUUCUGAAUGACAUUGCUUCUCCCCAAACUCGCCCUGCUGCAAAGCAGUAAACACACAAUGUCUCAUUUAAAUAGACAUCUAUGCUUCUUUGUAAAUCCCACGGAACUGUGAAACAAAUAGUCCGACGUGGAUUUGAUGCAUCGUGUUUCAUGGUUGCAAUGUUGUCAUUAAGCACCUUGGGUUUAAGGUGAAGCAAAAAAACUAAGAUUAAAUUAGCUUAGAUAUCUUUAUAUAGAUGGGAAAGUUGUCGGCCUGGGUUCGAUCCCAAUUGUUUCCACUUGGGAAAGUUUUCACAUCUGGCUUCCAUGACUUUUGCGUCCUGUACUGACGCCAAGGGCUCGAGGCCGAGCGUAAACCUUCACUGUUGCAUGCUAGGUUUUCCUUCUCCAUGUCACAACAUGCCAAUUGUUAUUUAAGAACCGUCAAACGUGCUUUUGAAGAAGAAGAAUGACUUUUAUUGCCAUGUGUUAUCUAAAGAUUUAUUUAAACAACCACAUCAACCAUUCGCUGCAAUGACAUGCUAAUGUUAUCGUGCUAUUUUAAUGAGCAUUUACAACUCUUUUAGUCAGUUCCUGUACUGCACCCAAUGCUAUUGCUAAUAGCAAUAGCAAAUCGCUAAUGUUAAUGCUGUUCUAAUUGCUAUAUUGAUGCUUUGCGCUUAAGUUACUGUUCAUUCGAUGCCACGUCAGUUACUUGAAUUUGACUUCAGUUUUUUUUCUAUAUUUAUUCUUUGAGAAAUUUUAACCUGACAAAGUAUGAAAGCUGAAAAUAUUGUUUAACUAAUUUGUAGCACUAUAAUGUGGGCUACACCCAGGCUUACGAUAGGUACAGGAGUCAAACAAAUCUGUUAAAAAAUGAUAUUCUAAGUGAGUCAUAAUUGCUCAUGCAUAUUUUAUAGAAGGUAGAGUUGAUAAGAUCCUUUGUGCAUUCCUUUAUGUGCGUGUAAUUACCGCCGGUUCCUCUAUCACCAAGAAACAUAACAGAGCCCCCUGAUUUUCGACUACAAGCAAAUGUCCUCCUGGAGGGCAUGUGGCGAGCGCCGGUCGUCCAGCGCAGACAUCCAUCACAGAAAAUGAAGUAAAAACAUGUGGAAGGGAGAUUCUGCUUUUUAUUAAAAGUCAUCAUUCCCAUGAAUAUAUGUGCAAAUCAAUGGGGCGUCUCACACUGAGAGCGACCGUGUGGCGGCCAAGACAAAGUGUAUUUGUGUGGGAGAUGAAAAAUCAUCGCCAGUGCGAAUGCAGAUAUGGUGGCGGCCUCACACUCCUGCCCGUGUCACCCUCCAUUCGUCACUGUCGGCGAGUCUGCCUCUCAUUAAGUGGCCCCGCUCCGGAGGCAACUUAAUUUCCUUAAGAGGACCAGACACCUGAUUCAAUUGUGAGCCCAUUACGGAUUUGUUUUUCACUCCUCGGCCUUGCUGGGACGACAAAGCUCUGAGCAGAAAUAUACUCCCACUCUAUUAAAUGUGCUGGACAUAAUUCCCAGACACAUGAUUCAUGUCUCUCUCCUGCUGCUCAUCCUUCACUACCGAGCCCACGUGGCGCCGUCAGCUGAGCUCCGGAGGCUCAGCUGCUGUAUCAUCGCUAUUCAAAUAUACAUCUGAUGCUGUGUGUAUUUCUGGAAAUGGAAAUUAAUCUGUGGUUUUCCCCUUAUCGAUGUAGAACACUUGUGAAAUUUAGGGGGAAAAGUCAAUGGGGGAAAGACAUAUUAUAUCCACCUGAAUGAGCUGCUGGCAGCGUUUGAUAUUUUGGUAGAUUUUUUUUUUUUUUUUUUCAUCAUAUUUAGGCUUGUUUGUGUCAAAAUGUACUACAGAGCUGUGUAGGGCUCCCAUGCUCUGUAGAGAGUCAGUUGCAAUAACCAAUCACAUCUGGAGUCUGUACGUGUCUGUAAGGUCUCGCGAAAGCGCAAAGAUUCGUUCUCAAUUGCAUCUGAGACCAACUGGUUGGAUGUUUUUUUUGUUUUUUUUUUAAUAAACUUUAUAAGCUAAUAACAUGGCAUAUUAAAUGCACAAUCUCUCAGACAAACUUAUUUAAGCUCACAGUGGACUUUUGUUGGAAAACUUAUCUUGUAAAAUUGCAGUUCAUUUUUCAGUUUUGACUGGAUCCUAGUUUCAAGUACUGUAGUAGCCUGUACCAGGGUGAGUAUGUGUGAUUCUAUUGGGAUUCUUUAGCCGUUGUGUCAUUUUAAUGGUUUUAUGUCGUGUAUUCAUCUAGGUGUGAUAUCACCGAAGGCCCGGCAUAAAAUGCUCAGCCGCCACUGCAGUAUGUACUGGGCAAGUUCAACUCAACAUUAGCAAAACAUGAGCAGACAUUUCUUUGUUUUACUUCAGUAAUAAUGAUAUCUCAGUGCAUGAGUCGCAGGAAUAUAAAUCAGAUUAGACUAUGUUAUUGACAAACACAGUGCGUCGUCCAAACGUGUCAGUUUUAUUGUGGAGUCUCGGGAACAGUCGGGAGAAGGCUGAAGUCUUUGGAUGACAGGUGAGUCAGUGACACUUCUCUUUAAGCUCUCAUCUGUAAUACAUUAUUAGUACAUUCAUAAGACAUGAUAAUGCCUUCGUAAGACUUCAAAUAAUAUGUUAUCAAUGUUUAUAAUUAUGUCCAGUAAUUUAUGACAAGUUUUAUAAAGCAUUUUAAGUUGUGAAGACGCAGGAACCCUGGACCAAAAUCCUUAUGUGAAUAACACCGUUUUCUCAUACUGUUAUAAGUUGUCGUUCAUGAUUGUAAACAUAUAUCCCAUCAUCUAUAAAGUCUUAUAAAUACUGUAUGUUAUGAUGUCUUAUGAAUGUACUUAGAAUGCAUCAGAGAUGAGACCUUCAUAUACUGUAGUGUAACUGGCUUGUUUCUAGCAUCAGAACAAGCAAGUAGUGGCCAUACAAAAACAGAGGCCAGUCACGUUGGUAGAGACUCACACACACACACACACACACACACACACACACACACACACACACACACACACACACACACACACACACACACACACACACACACACACACACACACACACACACACACACACACACACACACACACACACACACGCUAGCAGAAGCUAAACCAGAGGAACGCCAUGGAAUCAAACUAACUAUUGCCGGAAGAACCUUCGACAAACAAAUAGGCCAAACAAAAAUCAAAACCAAAUAAAUCAUGACAACAUUAUCAUAUCAUGACAGUCGCUAUUUGCUUGGCUAAAUGUGAAAAAAACUCUGACACUCAUGGUUACGCCAGCGACAGCGCCGAAGAAUGGGUCUCAUUAUAAAUCUUUCUCUUCUCUCGAUAAAUUUAAAAUCGGGGAAGCUUUUGUUGUCCAGCUGAAAUGCUAUUAGCAUUUUAGAAAGAAAAAAAAAAUGCUUCUUUAGAGGAGAAAAAGAUUCGACUCACCUUACUGGUCCAAAGUACAAACACACUGGUGAUGAUUAAAACUCAUGACAAACCUCUCAGAAUCUGUAUAAUAAUUAUCAUAAUAAUAGAUUGAAGAAAUCACUUUCCGGAAGCAUCAGUUUGAGUGUUCUUCAAUGUAAUUUUGGACGGGGAUAUAGCCUUGUUAUUGGGAUGAUUGAUGUGUAUCUUGUCAACCAGAGUCCGUAAAUUAUUUACCGACUUCUCAGUCCGACAGCUCCUUCCUCCAUCGUCUUUGAAAUGCAGACAACAGAAGAUGUUUCGCCAGCUCAGGCGAGACCUCCACGUCCGCUUGACUGCUGGUCUCUCCGGUUUACCUUUCACCUGCGCCUGUCAGCAAAAUGGCAGCCAUCAGAGACGAAGGUAAAAACGGAUCUGGCUCUCGUGUUUAGCUGAUCGCCUCUGAAAUUUCACCGUCACGACUUUAAUCCGCGAGAUGUGAGCGUGUUUGAUAUCAGAUGCUCGCACACUAAAGCCUCGUGUAUUCAUUUAUUUAUUAUCCUCCUCUCUUUUACAAGCUACCUGUCAGCUACCUCCAAAUCACUGCUUUGAGAACUCGGCUUUUUUUCCCCUUUCCAAAGUCCUGAUAGGGUUGUCGGUGUCUGAUUGGAUUGUGUUGUUGGCAUUUGAUAUUGUGGAUUCUGAUGAUGUCUGACAGUAACACCAACGGCCUGCACGUGAAGAACUGGACUCUCAAGCGAUUCAUUAUUUGAUUCUUAAGCUCGCAGCGUUUUAAUUCAGAGUUAACUUGAACCAAUUUGGACGACACAUCUGACAUCUACAUCUUCAUGCAUUGAAAAAGAGAAAAGCUAAAAUAUUAAACAUUACAAAAAUAAAACAAAAUAAAUUCUAACAAACAUUUGAAAGAAACCCAAGAAAGAAAAGACAUUUCACAUUUAAAACUUCAUUAUACAUGUCAACUUCAAUGACUGACUCGGCAGUGAAACUCACUCCCAUCGAUAUUUUAAGUCUCAUAAUGCACUGCAACACCUAGCAGUUAACAAAGUCAGAGCAAUAAUUCUGUCAAAUUCCUGACUUGAAGUGGACACUUUCUUUUUCUUAUUUUAAAGCAUGAAUGUGUCUUUACGUCCCAGACAUUGGCGUUCGCAUCUACCAAAAAAACACAACCCAUUUUGCUGACAAUCCAGGAACUAUUCAUGGACUCAUGGUUUUUGGAGCAGCUUGGCGGUAGAACACAUCACACGUGACCACCUUUUAUUUGGGUUGUCCACCAGAAAUUGAACAAAGAAAGAAAAGUUAGUGGCAAUUUCUUUUUUUCAAGUAAAGCAGCUUUCGAGGCGGGUUGUCUAUGUCGUGUGUGACCAUCUGCGUAGAUCCUGGGGAGAGAAACAUGGGCUUCACCGAUCUGAAGUUGUCAAAAAAGGGUCUUGAAGUAAAAACAUAGAGACACAAAACCAAGACAAACUGGAACGUUAUCACAAUUUAACCACCUAUUCAACUAGUUCUAAAAAUUCCGGACAUUUCCUUAGCAGUCAUGUGUGGUUGUGACUACGCUAGUAAACCUGAAGCCGCCUUUCUUUCACAUAUGAGCUGAAGGAUUUCCAGUUUUCCUCUACACUCGCCUGAUCCAGAGGAGCCCAGCAACGUGUGUGGAGGUGUGCCUCCUGCUCCCCCUGUCCUCUCCAGGAUCUUCAAAAGGAGGAGGUCCCACACAGGGUGUUUGAAGAGCCCAUUGACACUCCCCUGUGGGUGGUGAACUGGCAGAUGCUCAAACCACACAACUCUAUCUCCGCAGGAGGAGAGGCCUUCUCUUUCUGCUUUUGUGUCUGCCUUAUUCCACCUUUACUUGAUUGUCAAUGCUUUCUAAGUGGAUUUUAAUGACUGAACUAGAUAUUUACAAAAGCUAAGGUCUCAUUCUCGAAUGUUUCUGCUAUUUAUCAGGUGUCAAAAGUAACUGAGUGACUAAAUGAGCGACGCAAAGCCUGGAACUUGUUUGCAUCAUGAAAUAUAUGAGGAAACAGUCUUUUAUAACUGCCAUUUCUGGGGCAGCUGCUCUGCUUUUCUAGUAUUUUUCUACAGUAUUAUAUUUGGAAUUGACAGAGAUGUUCAGGAACUACUGCCAAGUGACGGUGAAAAAAAUAUUUUAGACACAUUGCUGUUGAGUAUAGUGAGUCGAUUGCCUGCUGUGUUUUAAAAAGUCAUAGAAUAAUAAUUUUCAACACCACAAUCUACUUUUUUUCUGUCUUGAGCACCAGUCCUCCGAAAUGCCAGUGCCUGGAUUCAAUAUAUUCCAACAGUACUCUCAAAAAUUCACUUUUUAAACAUGAAAAAAGCACUUUAAACUAGUAAUACUGGUGAAAGGUGAGAUUACAACGCCGAUUACAAACGUGGCUGUUUAGUUUGACAUUUAGUAUACAGUUAUUGUCUUCCCUGGUGUCAGUCCUUUCACUCCGCAUGCUGUUUGUACCGGCAGGUUCACCGACUCCCCAGCUUCCCAGCACUUCCACCAUCAUAGCUUCGCACACGUGGGAUGGCUGCCAUGCUGUCUGUUCGGCGGGCAGCAUCCUGGGUGGCGGUGUUGAAGUUUGGACUCGCAGCUCUGCACCUGCUCAUCCGGCCUGACCGCUCACGCUCCUCCGACAGGACUCCCACUGCGUUGAAAGUGGAGACCUUCUCGCCGUCUCUCGUUAAUUCUUCAUCUCUUUCCUUCUGCCAAUUUUUUCAGUCCAUCUCCUUCACUCUGCGUGUCCAUCUAUCACCGACUACUCCUCAGUCAUGUCAGUGUGAGGGGAGCGAGGUGUCUUACAGAGAAGAAGCUGCAGCUUUGUUUCAUAUUAAACCUCGCAGAGAUCUCUGGCUGUCUGCUGCUAUCACACUCAGUCUCACACUGAACACAACAGCUACUUUUCCUGACUGUUGGAGGAAACUGGAGUUCCUGCAGGUAACUUGGUCAUCGUCCUGACCCUCGUGUGGUGUUUAUGAAAGUGAGCGUUGGCUUGUCCACACCGGCAUGUUGCACAGGUGGUUUGUGAUGUUGAGAUGAAGCUCUGUGAGGUGUUGAGGCUUUCUAUGCUAUCUGUUCGACACAUGGGUCGAUGCUUCACGAAGGGCUUCAUUUGCUCUAUGGUACCACCAAGUGGACAUUGAAUGUAAAACUGGCACCAAGAAUGAGGAUUUAUUAUAUUUCUUAUCAUGAAAAGAUGCGAGACAACGGCUGGGAAAGAGGUCAGUCUUACAACACACUCAUGUUUCAGCUGGUUUCUGAGAGGACUUCCUGUGUGUGUAAAAAAGAUCAACAUAAAUGCUGCUGACAAAUUCAUUGAUAUUGAAUGUUACACGACUAUUUUGUGCUUAUUGUCAAAAGAAAGUCUUGUUUUUGAUGACAGACACCAGCAAUGCACUAUUACCUGCGGCUAUCACCUGACAAUGCUUGUAUUAGAGUUGUAUUUCAGUGAUAAUGAUUAUCUGAAACUAAUGAUAUUAACAUGAAAACUCCUACUGUGAAAGACCAUUAUCAUGAUCAUUAUAAAUAUUUACUUUGGUAUAGAACACUUAUAAUUUACAGAACUUCACCAUGUUCACAAAAAGCUCAUUUUUAUAUUUGCAUUUUAUAUAUCUGAGCCCAUGUGGUACCAUUAGAUAGGUUUGGGGUAGUCCAAAUAUUAUGUAAAUAUCAACAUAUGGUCAUUUAUAAACCAUAAUAAAUAUGGAUGUAGCAUUGGUGUAUCUGAAACAGUGUUAGCAUUUGGCUAUUUCAUGUUAAAGUUCCAUAUCACAUCACAUCAUAUGUUUGUCUAUGUUCAUAAUGUGUUUAUGUCUGCGUCCUAGGAAGCAAUUGUAGAAUAUAAAUACUAAUAAUUUCUUCACAAAAAAAGUCUUUUUCACAUUUUUAAUCCCCUCCAAUAGAAAAAAUAAAAACUUGUGGGACACAGAUGAGGCAGGGGUGUAUAAACCACCCAUGAGCUAUAAGGUUGUAUAAACAUGUUGUGUUUUCCUCCUAUAUUAUUAGGAGUCAAUGAGUGGCAUUUAUCUUAUUUUUUGUCUGCAGGUGGGUGGAUCCAGUUGAUGAAGUGGUGACCGUGAGGAGGAAGGCUUUACCAAAACCUUGGAUCCUGCAGUGGCAGCAACGAUGCUCAAGGAUUGCAGCAUGUGGAGCUUCUCAAGCAGCUGCCUCCUCAGGCAGCCUUUGCCUCUGGACUUUGCAACAGUCCCGUCAGCUCCCCCCCCUGUGAGUGGAGCAGCUCGGACAAGAGAGGUCUCACUUUGAAUCCAGACACUGUCCUCUCUUCUGACAGCUCACUUGUGGCAUCAUCAACUUUGCAAAGCACUCAGAAACUGUGUGAUCAUCUCAUGUUGUUUUCAUGCAAGGAGGGCAUUGUUAUUGCGUGAGGCAUGUUACGACAAGAGGAAACGUUGAAUGGU